UCAUAAGCGUCCAGGACAACAAAUCUGUACUCGGGACAUGGAGAGAAGUCAUAGUAUGCACGAUCAGAAUCGGUUGGCAUCUUCAGCAACGAUACUAGCUUGCCACGAGGAAGGUUAUAGAGGCAAUGGUUCCCAAACAUGUGCCCUUUGGAGGACGCUGAUGCUAUGACGGUAGUAGCGUGGGACACCAAGGAAUGAGCGACCAUCUGGAAUAUCAGCGUACUGGACAUCAGCAAUGACACCGAAGGAAAAUAAGGGUUCCCUAGAAGAUGCAUGGAUUACUCCAUUUGUCACAGCCAUCAUCUCUGUGAUAGAACCUGGAAUAGGUUUAUUCAGAAUAUUGAAUCAGUUAUAAUAUAAGCACCAUGCCACAAUAACGAGGAAAGGAUUUGAGCACGGUCUAAACAGGUGUUAGAACUCUACGUUGUACUUUUCUACUUUAAUGCUACUCUUGCACAUUACUGAAGUCAUAGUCUACACUAACAAAUUCACCAAACAAUUUGGUAAGGCUCUGAAUCUUGAUUUCCCCUUAAUCAGUCAUAAUCCCUUUUAGAAGUGUUUGACUAGCAGAUUAGCUCCAUAUCAUGAUAUGGGAGCGUUCAAAGUAAAAUGAAUCUCUUUGUAUCUAUAUGUGAUUUUUUUUUAAUUGCCAAAUGAUUGAUAUUGAAAGUCUGAAUUUGGAUUGCGGUACUAAAAACUGGCAUUCAAGAAAACUAAAUUUGUGGUGAUUUUCAAGAACAUCGAAAGAACAACACUGAAAUGUAGUACGAUUACUAAAAUAAAGAAGUUUGCCGUUUGCCUUGUGUAGUAUUAAAAUUAAUGUAUUGCAAAGAUAGUGCGUGUUUGCCUUGUUGUAUCAAUUUUGACCUGAAGCAAUUAUCAGUGUACAAAAAAAUGAAGAAAGUGGGGAACCCUAAUUAUUACGGAGCUGGAUAAUUUGAUUAAUUAUUUGAAAUAUAAUCAGAACAAUUGAUCACGUGUUGCGCAAAAUCGAAAAAUGAUAGGCAUACCGAAUGGAAGAAGGGCCUUAUCUACGCGGCGGUGUUCCCCAACCCCUGUCUCCACCUCCUUUCUCUACACGGAGAGAAAUGGAGAGAAGA